rnacentral:piRNA from 1 species
GAAGAGGGAAGGAAAUAGCAAUGG